rnacentral:rRNA from 1 species
GCGCUACACUGAUGCAUUCAACAAGCCUAUCCUUGACCGAAGGGUCUGGGUAAUCUUUGAAACUGCAUCGUGAUGGGGAUAGAUUAUUGCAAUUAUUAGUCUUCAACGAGGAAUGCCUAGUAAGCGCAAGUCAUCAGCUUGCGUUGAUUACGUCCCUGCCCUUUGUACACACCGCCCGUCGCUCCUACCGAUUGGGUGUGCUGGUGAAGUGUUCGGAUUGGCAGCUUAGGGUGGCAACACCUCAGGUCUGCCGAGAAGUUCAUUAAACCCUCCCACCUAGAGGAAGGAGAAGUCGUAACAAGGUUUCCGUAGGUGAACCUGCGGAAGGAUCAUUGAAUUAUUAAAACCACAACGUGAACCUAUCUGUUCCGUGCCUUUGCUGCCAGCAGGGCAAUCGGGUUCUGCCCGAUUGUACUUGCAAGCUGGUGCGAGUAAGUUUAUUACUUGCAUCAGUGGCGCUCUGGCAUGCCUAUACACCAGUGCUAACCACUGUCAAAACCAAACUCUGAAGCUUUGAUUGCUAUUAACUGGCAAUCUUAACCAAAGACAACUCUCAACAACGGAUAUCUUGGCUCUCGCAACGAUGAAGAACGCAGCGAAAUGCGAUACGUAGUGUGAAUUGCAGAAUUCCGUGAACCAUCGAAUCUUUGAACGCAUAUUGCGCUCGAGCCCUCGGGCAAGAGCAUGUCUGCCUCAGCGUCGGUUUAUACCCUCACCCCUCUCUCCUUUUGGAGGGUUGGUCAGCUCUCAGUUGACCUCAGGGGUGGAUCUGGCUUUCCCAAUUGGUUUACUCCGAUUGGGUUGGCUGAAGCUUAGAGGCUUAAGCAAGGACCCGAUAUGGGCUUCAACUGGAUAGGUAGCACCGGCUUCUGCCGACUACACGAAGUUGUGGCUUGUGACUUUGCUAGAGGCCAAGCAGGAAACAUGCUUUGCAUGUCUUAAACUUUCGACCUG